rnacentral:misc_RNA from 1 species
CGCACCUUGCGCUCCUUGGCAUUCCGAGGAGCAUGCCUGUUUGAGUGUCACGUGAAACCCUCACCCUGGUGAUGUUAACCCAUCGCUAGUGGUGGUUUUGGACUGUGCCGUUGUUGGCUCGUCCUGAAAUGCAUGAUGAGAACGCACGUCUAGAUGGCAACCUCCUGGUGUGAUAACUAUCUACGCCUUCCGAGGACAAAUGCCUGGCCGUGGCUCACAACCGUCUUCGGACAACUUUCAUUAACGCUCUGGCCUCAAAUCAGGCAGGACUACCCGCUGAACUUAA